rnacentral:rRNA from 1 species
CCUACGGGAGACAGCAGUGAGGAAUAUUGGUCAAUGGACGAGAGUCUGAACCAGCCAAGUCGCGUGAAGGAUGACUGCCCUAUGGGUUGUAAACUUCUUUUAUAUGGGAAUAAAAUGUUCCACGUGUGGGAUUUUGUAUGUACCAUAUGAAUAAGGAUCGGCUAACUCCGUGCCAGCAGCCGCGGUAAUACGGAGGAUCCGAGCGUUAUCCGGAGUUAUUGGGUUUAAAGGGAGCGUAGGUGGAUUGUUAAGUCAGUUGGGAAAGUUUGCGGCUCAACCGUAAGACUGCAGUCGAAACUGGCAGUCUUGAGUACAGUAGAGGUAGGCGGAAUUCGUGGUGUAGCGGUGAAAUGCUUAGAUAUCACGAAGAACUCCGAUUGCGAAGGCAGCUCACUGGACUGCAACUGACACUGAGGCUCGAAAGUGUGGGUAUCAAACAGGAUUAGAUACCCUAGUAGUC